CCCUCACCCUCUCCCUCCCCUCUCGUGCCAUCGCCGCCUCCGCCUCCGCCUCCCAUCGCCUCCCCCUCCGCCUCCCCUCGCGUCGCCUCCCCCUCCGCCUCCCCUGCGCCGUCACCAUCGCCAUCCCCGUCCCCUCGCGCCGCCGCCUCCACCUCCUCCUCCGCCGCCGAUGGCCAAGCCCUCAAGGUCGCCGGAUCUGAUGGCAGCGAGUUCGUGGUCGGCGAAUCCGGUGAUCUAACGGCUGAUGAAGGGGAUGGUGGUGAUGGAGCGCGAGGUCCGGGUCACGCUCCGAGGAGAUCGCCUCGGCCAGGUACCCCGCUGUGAAGCCCGGCCGGAGCCGCGCGACCCACGCCGCGAACUGCUCGUCCGGCGGCGCGCGGACGGGGGACUCGGCCUCCACCACGUCCGCGGGCACUCCUGCUUCUUCUCCUCCAGAUACGCCAUAGGAGCUGAAGCGACGGAGGCUGCGAGAGAAGCGGCGGGCGGUGGCGGCGAGGAGUGCCAUGGCGGUCGGGCUCGCCUGCUCCGGCCGAGGCGCUUCUGGAGUAUAUAAAUCACCUCCUGCCAUUUUGCAGUAGCAGCAAUCUGAAUGAAUAUUGCAAAUCCAAGACUUGAUGACCACUUUUGCUGAUCAGACAAGAAGAACGGCCAAGAAACAUUGUUUGGACUACGCCCCAUGGCAGAUUGGCAGAUGGAGAAUUUACGCAUAUGCAAAUCCUGCAAUUUCUGCAUAAAUUGUAAGUGUAAUUCACGAGCUUUUGAUGAAGCCUGCAUUCCAUUUCUUCUAGCUUGGCAUAUGCACUAUGCAGGACUGCGUGGUUCAGAGAUUUUGCAUUGCACAGGGCCCGAGAAGGCUGCAUCAUCUCGUCUAUAGCUAAUAAGCAUGUUUUCUUCCCUUCGUUCAUAGUUAGAUUUGAGUGAAAAAGGGUGUCCUUUUGAUGGUCUGCUCAUAGAAAACUUUGCUUGCAAUGUGUGAGCUCAAGGUGCCUUCUCUCCAUUGUUGAGAGGUAAGGAGGAAGGGAGCUUGCUCAAUUCGAUUUCCCAGGAGGGAGAUGGGGAGCUUGCCAGAUAAGUGGGUGUGUGUGUGUAGCACUACGAUGAAGCUGCUCAUAUAUAGCUAGGCAGCAGCUAUAUAUUGCCUGACCAACAGAAUUCAGAGAACCUCUAUUUCAUCUGAAGUUGAUGUCUUGUGAGCACAAUUCAAUCCUGAAGAAGAACAUGAACCUGCUUCAGAGCACAAUAAAGGGAUGAGAUUGGUGAAUCUGAAUGGUCUGAGGUUCUAGAAUUAAUCCUUCCACCAAUAAGAAAUACUGAUUAUUUAGUAUUAUCAUGACUUCGUACUUUAAUCAUGUUAGAUUAUAUAUUACUAGAAUGCCAGUGGUAGCCCGUUUGUUACCAAGCAAAGAUUUAUUUUUCAGCUUUCUGCAUGAGGGGGGACAUCAGUAACUUCGAACAGACACCCCUGCAUGUUAAGUAUGAUUUUGAUGUCCAAUUUGUGUAAAGUUGUGCUCCUUUACCUGAAUACGCUUGGAAAUUCGCUUGAUGUAGAUAAUGAUGCCUGAGCUGUGUGGCUGCAGAUGCUCCCAGCUGCAAUCUCUUUAGUUAAUUACCUAAAUGACCUGUGCUUUCAGGUAAGUGUCUGCAGUCAACUGAAAUAUUUGGCUAGCAUGUAACUCUUGUUUUGCUAAUUAUCAAUGUACCAGACACCUCCUCCAACACUGAAGUAGAGCUAUCAGCUCAUCGCCCUUCUAAUACCACCAGAUCAGAUAGCGUCGGCUAGGGAGGCUGAAGCCCACCGAGAUGGCACAGGUGCUGGGAGGUCGCUUGUGCAUAUUCCGAUUUGAGAUUGCACUCAUUAAUGAGAGGUUUUGUUCUCUUCUUGUUGUUGUGGGUUGCUUAUGCACUGUGCCACAGGUGCUGGGAGAUACAGCAUAGUCAUCUGAGCAACUCCGGCUCUUUGCCGGUUUGCGCCCGUCAAGAUCUUCGAGGACGACAUGCAUCUUGCCAUCUCUGUUUGCUUCACAUCUUCCACAUGUUCAGCAUGGAUGGUCACUUAGCUCCAUGGCCUGAGCUUGUCAAGUUACACAGAAAGUAUGGGAUUUUGUUGUUCAUCGAUGAUGUUAGUGUUUUUAUCUCCCCUGAAAUACAUUUUUUUCCUGGGCUAUUGGUAAUCAAGUUAUGUUGCAAUUUUCCUUUUCAAGGCACACAGAAAACUUGUUUGUGGUAACGAUGGUGGUGGUUUUUAACACUUUUCAGCACGGCUUCAUUCUCACUACAAAUAGAAAAAUGGCUUGAUGUCGAGUAAGAGUUGAUAAUAGAUUACUUUUCUAGACCCUUUGAACUAAUCUUAAAUUUGUCCGCCAUAUUAUGUAAUGAUUCUUGCUCGAGCUUCUCCAUAUAUUCCUAAAAAAACAUAAAUAAGACCCUUUUAUAUGUUUCACUCUCACUGAAUCACUUGGAAUCAAUGUUCUUAGAUGGUAUCGUUUUUGCACAAAUUUUUUAAGGUGUUACUUCAUAAGGUAUAUUUUGUCUUAUGUGCUGCUCAUGAAAUUUUCCCUCUUAUUUUCUAAUGUUUUCUUUUAUUUUAAUGAUGAGGUAUCCCCAGCCCCAGGAGAUGUUGAAUGUAUUCAUGGGAAGCUGGGCCUUUUGUCUUUUUAGAAAUCGAUCUAGACACCAAUAAACAUGACCUUUUAGUAUGGCAACUGCUUUUUAUAUCACUAACACAUUCACAUAUUUUAAUGAUGAGGUUUUCGUUGCUUUCUGGUUUCAGCAGAACCAAGAGCUAGCAUGAUCUACAGCUCAAUUCAGCACAUGAGUGCACUUAUGAUCUAUAUGGUUACCAAUGGUAGACAAUAUAUACUUUCCAUGGUUUAGGUUCCAUUAAAAUCAAUUUAAGUUUUGAAUUAUGGGGUAUUGUCAAUACAAGGUUGCAUGUUUCUGAAGUCAUUUCCCACAGACUAUACUCAUGUCCAUGUGCUUUUGUACAUGAGAUAAUUUGGAAAUUGGAAUGCAUGGUUGGAUGCAUAUGCAGUUAUUUGGUACUGGUUGUGGUGUUUUUUUUCGAUAGCAUGUUAUGACUGCAAUUUUGGGGUUAUCCUUGCAGGCUAUUCCUGAUGUUCCAGCGUUUCCCAAUUGAAUAGAAAGGAACUAAGGAAGGCGUAAAAAGAUGAAUGCGAUGUAUAAAAGAAAGUAGGUCCUAUGUCAAUAUCUUCCUACUUUCUUUGUGUGUUUGUGGCGGGGGGGGGGGGUCUCCAGACUUUAAUUACUUUACUUACAGCAUAUUAAGAGAUGUGCUUCAAUGCGUUCAAUAAACAAAUCAAUCUUCAUAUUCUGAAUCAUCCAAUUUUUAACUUCUACUGUUUGGUAGGUUUCUCUAUUCGCAUGUUCAAUACUCAAUCUUGAACCCUUAUACAUUGCUUUCAUUUAUCUGAUGACAUUUACAUAUAAAUCUCUGUUAAUAGCAUUGUCAUUUAAUGCUAGCAGCUCUGCAUUAUUCAUUUUCAUUUGCCACUUGUGAUGUUCACCUCGAGGAAAUCAUUUAUAACAUGAUUUUAAUUGGUGUGGAAGCAAACAAAGCAUACUGCUAGAUUAUAGUAUAAACUUGUGAAAGAUAUAUUUCCUUUGCCUUGUUUAUAUCCUAAUAGAUUAAUUGUGUUUAGAGAAAUACCUGAGCUGAAAAUGCUAUCGAGAUUAUGGCUAAAAGAAUUUGAUUUUGGUAGAAUAUAUAAGAGGGAACAAAAAAAUAUUCAUUUCACAAAAGUCGUGUGUGUGCAUGUAUCUGCGCAUAGGCAUUUUUUUUAGCAAAAAUACUAUAUGGUGAUUCUUUUACAAAUUGUCAAUCCAUUGUUCCAUCUGUGUAAUGGGACUAUCUUUUUCCCUAUGGAUAAUCAUGGCAAAUUCAUAGUUGAAGCGAUGAAAACAGAUCUACAUGUAACUAGCCAUUUGAAAGUAUAACAUAUCAAUUUUGCUGAACGAGUUAAAAAUGAACUUUUGUUACUGGAGUAUCCUUGGAUUUUUGUGAAGUAAUCGACAUAAAAGAUAAUUCCUACCAAAUUUAUUUAGCUUUUGCAACUAGCCAUUAAAAAAUGUGCCAAGAAUAAACUGCAAAACACAAUCCUAUGUUGUGUCAUUUUGAGCAUGUGCAAACCAACAAUUGUACUCACCGAUAUCCUUUGUUGAUAACAUUCACUUUCCUUAGAUGGUUGGUUGAGAUUGUACCUUCAGCUUCAGUAUUGUUCGUCUUAAGGAAACUACCGACUAAACGGGGAAUCACACAGCACCAUCCAACAUUAGGUCAAUCUGGGAGUCCCCAAUAUGUCAUUUCAAAUUGUUCAGCUACUCUAUGUGAGCAGAAAUGCAGGUUGUCCGAUACAGAUGAACCAUGAAAUCCUAUUGAUUGAAUUGCACAGUUGCUUGAUUUGCUUUGUAUAUGUACUGGUUAUGCAUUUUGUUCUCAUAUAAGUAAUGUUGAGUGCCAACCCCAGUUUGUAGAAAUACAAAUAUAAAAUGUAUCCCAGUGAUAUUUCCACUUUGAAUCGUUUAUAAUUUGGACCACAUGAUUGUUCUAUACAACUUUUUAGUUGUUAUUUGUUGCAUGCUUACAAUAUCUAAUACUGGAAAGAAAAAAUAUUAAAAUUGCUAAGGACAAAAGAAAUUACAUACAAGUUACAUUCUUUUCUUGUUUCUUAAAUUGUAGUACCAUAUCACUUAUCUUAAGUAAAACCAUGUUCUGUUGCCACUUAUUAACAUUUUUUUUCAAAAAGAAUCCAUUAACAAAACCAUGGUAUUUCUUCACCGUUUGUAAUUACAUAUAUAAAAAAGUUAAUAUUUUGCAUGGAGCUGUUGAAUGAAUAUUUCCUUGAUGUUUAAGAUUCUUAAAACUAUGUAGAUCCGAGUGGCAAUUUUCACUUUGGAGGUAUGCAACUGAUCCUCUCAUUCUAUUAUUUUUUACAUUAUACAAGGGUCUAUCCCUAUAAAGCUUAUUCUACAGACUUGUCUACAUUAUGCUUGAAUGGAAAAUUCAUCUAGCCUGCAACUCCUACAAUAUCUACCAUACAGAUCUUGGUUAUAGUCAUACACUUCUGCUAGACCUAAAAACUCAUGGGACAAUAUGUAAUCUGUAUUGCAUUGGAAUAUUGGAAUUAUUUCUUACCGCUAACUUAAUUCAUACACUAGCUAAAUGUAAGAUAAUUGGAAUUAUUUCUUACCGCUUUGAUCUAAUAGAGGAAGUAUCAGCGUAACCAUUUAAGUAAAACAAUCUUUUUACCCCAAAUGAUAGGUUGAUCCCAACUCUAUUAGUUGCUUAUAUUCACAACAUUUCCUUCCAUUGCAAUAUUUCUUUAUAUACAAUUUGGUUUAAAUUAAUAUUUUCAUCUAUAUUUGUCAUGUUUUGCUUAUCAGUGCCCUCACACGCCUGUUGAUAUAUGAUAUAUUAUAUAGUUUUUGUUAUGUAGACAUCACAUGGUUUCAAUUAGAUUACAACCAUAUUUGAAUUAUCAAGAUAUUUGCUUUGCAUGAUCUACAAUGUAUUUUAGCUUUGAAACAGCUGCCAGUAUCAUUGUUUUCUAUUUGCAAUUAGAAUAUUGGCAGAAUAAUAUGGCCACUUCAAAUUUUCACUUAGUUCUAUUGCUUGACAGAAUUAAUGUGGUUUGGUUGGGUUGGUCCAAUUGAAAGGGUUGCUGUCAUUCUGCUCUGUUUACUGGUGACGCAUUGGCUUGGAAAUUAAGUCUUCAGCCAGCUUUUGCGCAAAACAAUUUAGAAUAAUUUUUGCUUGCUAUAAUUUUAUUUGUUUGUAAAAAAUUGUGUCAAAAAAAUGUCACAGAAUUGCUAGCUAUUUUGCAGUUCUAACUAGGCUAGAUGACUCUAUUGUAGUUUUGAACUGACAUACUGAAGUUUUUCGUCUCAGUCAUUCUGUGAUCCCAAACAAAAUCAGCAUGAUGUGUCUCAGUAUGCUACCCAUUGUUUCCAGCACUGGCUUUCCGUGGCAAUAGAAGGUCUGGAAAAUAUGGUAAUGAAAUUUUCAUUGGCUGUUAUAUGCAAUUUUGGUUAUCUAUUCCUUGUGAAGCACGUUGAUGAGAAUAAUAAAAGUAUAAGUUGGUCAAGCUAAAAAAGGGAUUUUUUUUUUUACUGAAGUUUCUCAAAUCUUUCAAGGAAAGACAAAUCUUGAGGAUAACCUGCCAUUCCUUCCAGUGCGUCUUAAGUUUAAGAGUUGGAAGACAAAUCAAUAUCAGAGUAUGGGACCAUGUUGCUUGCAGCCACCGAUCAAUUGUGCCUAAAUUAAAUCUGAAGGUGGUUAGUUGAUUGUACAAAACAGUUUGUUUUUCUGAUUGAUGUUAUGGAUUAUCAAGAAGAAAAUAUAAAUUCUAAGAGGCAUACUUAUAUUAUCGCAGCUGCUCUAUAUUACCAGAAAUGUUAGCCGCUAGCUUUAGAUUAUCUGUGCAAGUUGGCUUUCUCUUCCAUUGAUUCUAUUGAUUGUAUUGCAUAGGUGCUUCAUCUGCUUUGAUUCUGUACCGGAUAUGAGUUCUCAGAUCAGUAAUGUCGAGUUCUAUAUGAAUAUAGCACCAGCCCAAGUUUGCAGAAAUACAAACAUGAAAUGUGUCCCAAGUGAUAUUUUAAGUUUGAACCGGUUUA